rnacentral:rRNA from 1 species
CAGUAGCCGCGGGAAUACAGAGGAUGCAAGCGUCAUCCGGAAUGAUUGGGCGUAAAGCGUCUGUAGGUGGCUUUUCAAGUCCGCCGUCAAAUCCCAGGGCUCAACCCUGGACAGGCGGUGGAAACUACCAAGCUGGAGUACGGUAGGGGCAGAGGGAAUUUCCGGUGGAGCAGUGAAAUGCGUUGAGAUCGGAAGGAACACCAACGGCGAAAGCACUCUGCUGGGCCGACACUGACACUGAGAGACGAAAGCUAGGGGAGCAAAUGGGAUUAGAUACCCGCGUAGUCCCUGUCUCUUAUAC